rnacentral:rRNA from 1 species
AUAUAAUUAAGCGGAGGAAAAGAAACUAACAAGGAUUCCCUUAGUAACGGCGAGUGAAGCGGGAACAGCUCAAGCUUAAAACCUGUGCCUUCGGGUACCGGAUUGUAGCGUAAAGAAGGAGCGUCCGGGCGAACGAUGACCUAAAUGCCUCAGGAAUAGGCUGCCAAAGAGGGUGAGAGCCCCGUUCAAGGUUGUCGACCUCGUCUUUUGUGAUGCCCUUUCAUCGAGUCGGGCUGCUUGAGAGUGCAGCCCUAAGUGGGUGGUAUACUUCAUCUAAAGCUAAAUAUUGACACGAGACCGAUAGCGCACAAGUA